AAUAAAUUUAAUUCACUCAUUCAUUCAAAAGAAACUUAAAGUGUUAAUGUAAAGAGAUCAAUCUGUGGAGUUAACACAUUCAACUUUAAACCAUUGAUUCAU